ACACUGAUGCCAUACCCUGGACGGCAUUAUCCUGUAUCAGGCUGAAUGAAGAUGACACCACAUCUUCAAGUCGAAUCUUCAUCAAGAUUUUAUUCCAGGAGCUGUCUGAGUACAUGGGACUCCCAAAACUGAACGAAAGAUUCAAAGAUCAAACAUUGCAGCCAUUCUUGGAAGGUCUAAUGCCGCAUGACAAUCCAGCCAACACCAGGUUCUCUAUCAAUUUCUUCACAACAAUUGGACUUGGAGGCCUCACGUAAGUUAUAACUAACAUUUCCAAUUCCAUUAUUAUAAUUAUUAUUA